GACGUAGGGCGCGAGCGUUGUCCGGAUUUAUUGGGCGUAAAGAGCUCGUAGGCGGCUUGUCGCGUCUGCUGUGAAAUUUCGGGGCUCAACCCCGAACUUGCAGUGGGUACGGGCAGACUAGAGUGUGGUAGGGGAGACUGGAAUUCCUGGUGUAGCGGUGAAAUGCGCAGAUAUCAGGAGGAACACCGAUGGCGAAGGCAGGUCUCUGGGCCAUAACUGACGCUGAGAGGCGAAAGCAUGGGGAGCGAACAGG
rnacentral:rRNA from 1 species